rnacentral:rRNA from 1 species
UAGGGAAUCUUCCGCAAUGGGCGAAAGCCUGACGGAGCAACGCCGCGUGAGUGAUGAAGGUCUUCGGAUCGUAAAACUCUGUUAUUAGGGAAGAACAAAUGUGUAAGUAACUAUGCACAUCUUGACGGUACCUAAUCAGAAAGCCACGGCUAACUACGUGCCAGCAGCCGCGGUAAUACGUAGGUGGCAAGCGUUAUCCGGAAUUAUUGGGCGUAAAGCGCGCGUAGGCGGUUUUUUAAGUCUGAUGUGAAAGCCCACGGCUCAACCGUGGAGGGUCAUUGGAAACUGGAAAACUUGAGUGCAGAAGAGGAAAGUGGAAUUCCAUGUGUAGCGGUGAAAUGCGCAGAGAUAUGGAGGAACACCAGUGGCGAAGGCGACUUUCUGGUCUGUAACUGACGCUGAUGUGCGAAAGCGUGGGGAUCAAACA